UUUAGCAUUUAUAAAAAGAUUAAUAAUGAUAUGAUAAAAUAUGUUUUCUAUAUUGAUGAGAUUAAAAACUUGCUAACACAAUUUCCACGAAAAUCUAAUUACAAUCUAACCGAAAGAUCUUACAAAAUAUUGUUAAAACAGAUAAAGGAUAAUUCGAUAAAACAAACGCAUCAUACUUAUUGGAAAGUUACUCGCGAUUUAAUCGAAAGAUAUAGUAAUGUAAAAAAAGAUCACUUUCUAAAAUUACAAUCCU